AUUGAAAUAAGCUGGCCCCUGGAGGACAGGUACCCCAUGUUGUCUCUCAUCUGUGGUAGCUGAUCCAGCGAGAGAGGGUGAAACCCGUGUGGAAGUCAUAUCAUCGGGUGUAUUGGGGAAACACGGGGCUUGGCGGCUUGGCCUUUGUUGGAUUCUGUUCUUAUCAGCACUUCCAAAGAAGCGAAAACAGGCAGAGUUCUCACAGCCACCGGGCCAAGGCCGGCAAGAGAUUACACAGCCCCUCGGGUACCCGCCAAAGCCUCCUGACCCACUUCCUGCGCGCAGAGCCUUCGGGGAGUGGGGACCGCCAACCCCUGGCCGACCAGUCCGCAUCAGAACUCGGAGCCUGCAGUCUCAGCUGCUCCAGAAUCUGCCCAUGGAAGAAACCACUCAAGCUUGGUUCUACAGGGGUCCCGUGGAGGGCACACCGAGUGACACCUGGGUCUGAGCACCAGAGAGGCAGUGAGGAGCGAAGAGAGACAUCUGCCCACGGGAGUCCUGGCCCGUCCUUGCCUGGGGUUGGGCAACACAGCAGGGCAGAGAGCCUCAGGUCUACCUGGCCAGAGCACCUGCAGCCUCUCGGCCCACCUGGAAGGGCAUCGGGAGAGGCAGGUGCACAUGCAAGUCAUCACAGGGCGACCCAAGCUCACCAGUGGGAGCUGGAUGUCCAUGUGCCUGAGCGCGGAGCCUGAUGGGCACAGGCCUCCUAGGAGCCCAAGGCGACUCAGGUGAGAGGCAUGCCUUGCCAAGUUGACCCAUUCCAGACUUCUCUGUGGGAGUGAUGAUGACAAGAAGGACACCAGCGAACAGCGCUCAUGAGGGCAUCCAUGGUCCCCUGCUCCAGCUCCAUCAUCGAUACACAUUUGCCCAUCUAAGCCUAUGGCUGGGGCCAGCACUAUGGCACAGUGGGUGAGGCCAUCCUCUGCAGUGCCAGCAUCCCACAAUGGGUGUCUGUUUGAGUCCCGGCUGCUCCACUUCCUAUCCAUCUCUCUGCUGUGGCCUGGGAAAGCAGUCGAAGAUAGCCCAAGUCCUUGGGACCCUGCACCUGUGUGGGAGACCUGGAAGAAGCUCCUGCCUCCUGGCUUCGGAUCAGCCCAACUCCGGCUGUUAUGGCCAUUUGGGGAGUGAACCAGCAGAUGGAAGACUCUCUCUCUCUCUCUGCCUCUCUCUAACUCCACCUUUCAAAUAAAUAAACAAAUCUUUAAAAAUAAACUUCAUGGCCACCCUCAGAAUGGAAAUGCUGUUAUUACCUGGGUCUUUAUUACUAUUACUUCGGAUCCCAACACCACGCGUGAGGUUCUGGGUCUGUCGGCUUGUCUUUACCAUGUGUUCACGGAAAGAUGUUUCAUCUUGUUCUUUCUUUCUGCAAGUUUUGCCUCAUUUAUUUGAAAGGCAGAGUUGGAGAAGGAGGAGAAUAAAAGGAGGAGGAGGAGGAGGAGGAGAAGGAGGAGGAGGAGAGCUAGUUUCCAUCAGCUGGUUCACUUUCCGAAUGGCCACAUUGGUUGGGGCUGGGUCAGGUGGAAGGCAGGAGUCAGGAACUCCAUCCAGCUCUCCCAUGUGGGUGCAGGGACCCAAGGACUCGGGAGAUCUCCCACUGCUUUCCCAGGCUCAUUAGCAGGGAGCUGGACUGGAAGCGGAGCAGCUGGGACUCGAACCAGUGCUCUGACACUGGAUGCUGCUGUUGCGGAUGGCAUCUUAACCACUGAGCCACAAUGCUGCUGCUCCCGGGUACUUAUUCAAGACCACUCUGAGUGACCCCAAGCUGGAAUUACCGCACGGCAACUGGGAAUGGAGGCGUACCAGCACGGAGGCUCAUUUGGGAAAUGCGUGGCCUUUUCCCUGUGAUGCUUAUCCCUUGUCUUCCCAUGGGUCGGGUUUCUGCUAUGCCGGAGGUGUGCUUAGCAGGGAAGGGAAGAGAGGGUGGGAGCAGGAAGGGGCCACCCAGGCCACCCAGCACCCUGCAGAGAGCUGUCCCCUCCAGGUCCCCAGGCUGUCUCACAACAGUGACCCAGGUGAUGCCCUUCUUUUAGACUUGAAGUUGAGUCCUGUAGUACCUGGCACUCUGCUUUUCUUAGUCGCAUCUCCAGCUAAAUUGUGCCCAGGGGCCGGUGCUGUGGUGCGUAAGGUUAAGCUGCUGCCUGCAGUGCUGGCAUCACAUAUCGGCAACAGUUCGAGUCCCUGUUGCUCCACUUCCAAUCCAGCUCCCUGCUGAUGGCCUGGGAAAGCAGUAGAAGAUGACCCAAUUGCCUGGGCCCUGCACCUGCAUGGGAGACCAGGAAGAAGCACCUGGCUCCUGGCUUCAGAUUGGAUCAGCUCCAGCCAUUGCAGUCAUUUGGGGAGUGAACCAGUGGAUAGAAGACUCUCUGCUUCUGCCUUUACCUCUCUAUAACUCUGCCUCUCAAAUAAAUACAUAAUUUUAAAAAAGAAAGCAGCUUGUAUUUGGUUUAUUUGGGGAGAUUCAAAUGUUCUUUCUCCCUCAGCUGAUUUUCUGCCUGGCUCAUUACUGAGAGAAGCAUUGAAAUCUCCAGCUACA